UUGAGCCGUCGGACAUAGACACGUGUCAGACAACUGGACCAAAGUUCAUAGUUAAUUUUAGACCCGCGUCGCAUGGAAUCAACCAACCCGUUAUCCCAUUUUACGAAACCCCAUUUCAUCACAUAAUCAGAAAAGAAGGGACGCAAAAUGGACUUGAAGAUCAGAGACGUAAAAGCUGUAACCGCUAAUUUUUUGAAUCAAAUUUUCACUUUACUCCGAGGUGAGCUUUUGCUCUAUGAAGAUCAUGGUAAGUUAUCAGCUUGAAUUAGGACCAAUGGCUAUGACUAAGACAUUUAUGUACUUUGGUGGUAUAAUGAAUUAAUUUGAAAUAAAAACCAAAACAAAUAAGAUGAAGAAACUGCAGUCAAUUAGAGUAGCAUUAAAUUCUGAUACUGCAAAGGAGAUUAUUGUUUUAUGACGUGGAAUAGAGCGAGUUAUCAACAUGAUCAGCAAAGGUGAUGACUGCAUCAUUUAUUCCAAUAACUGCAGUAAGAAAUAUAUGUAAAGAAGAAACAAUUCAGUUUAAGAAAUUGUAGAUGUAUUUGUCAUGAUGAUUAAUUAGUUGGAAGGAGCUCUGAAAUGAUAAGUGGAUAGUGUUGGUCAAAGACAGCUUGGACCUCUGAUUUUAAGUAGAUCACCCUGUUGAACAGUUUUAUAGACUCAUCAAGUGACAUGCCAGAAUACGGAACUUGAGUCUGAAACACUCUUCCUUCUUAGCUUACAAUGGGAAAACAAAAUAAAGAAAAAGAUUAUAAUAAAUAGUUGCUGUUGUGCUGGCUAAUUUCUGGGCUACAUAUACAGAACAAAUAUAGUUGGAAGGUGGUUGUAUCUGUAUAUGGUUGCGAUGGUUAAUCACACUAAUGUUCUUUGCAGGUGUAAUUAGUUUAUGAUCUUAACUAAUUCUCGUUGUCAAUUUACUCUCAAUCUACCUUGACCGCGAGUAUGUGUUCCAAGCAAACGCGUGUACCAGAGAUGAAUGUGGCUUGAAUGUUGAAAUGUAUGAUCUACAUUUGGAUUAGGACUACCUUUUAAACAGCUUGUAUGUUUUAAUGCGGUGAAUGCAUUGAAUUUUUGCUAUUUGGAAAAAAACAUUAAAAUGUCCAGUUUGUAGCAUCUAUCUUCUGAAGUCUGGUGUUAGCCAGCUGACGUAAAGCAUUGGCUCAAUGAAGCCUGAUGGUGCAUUUGUAUGUUGAAAUUAUGGCUCCAUAAAUCAUACGGGGCCUCCAUGAGAACCCUACUUGAGAAUAAAUGGAAUGGUAAACUUUGUUCCAAAAUUUAUUUGUCACAGUGACGUCUCGUACAUGGAGAAUGAAGAGACCCUCACGGUUGAUAUUAGAGUGUAUCAUAAGAAAAACAGCUACUGGUUAUAUGCAUGUGUAUUUAAAAGUACAAACACAGAGGUUAUGCAGCAGAGAGUUUGGGUGUAAAGAAGCGAUUUCCUGUGUGCUCUGAUCUGCUGUCUCAUUUACCAUGUAUAAUCUUCAUGAGUUUAUUUUUAAUUUGUCUAUGUACUUUGCUUCCACGAUAUCUUCUCCAGAAAUGAAGUCAAGGAAAUCGCUGAAGCUUCCUUCUUUGUAGGACAAGAUAUGUUGUUCAUUGACAAGCUCUGAUGCAGGUCUAACUUUUUUACCUAAAGCUAGACUAUGAAGACUGGCAAUCGAAAUGCGUUUUCUUUCUGAGUUAACUGUUGCUCGGUGGAGAACGCUUUUGUAUCUGCCAUUGCUCAAUACUUCCAUCUGAUCUCCCAACUGAACAAUGAGAGCUCCUUCAGUGAGUGGAACUGAAUGCCACUUCUCAUCUCGAUCCAUGAUUUGCAAGCCUUGAUGAUUUUGUAGAAUGAUGGUUAGCAUACCAUAAUCUGUGUGUGGUGGCAAUCCUAAUGUAAGAUCUGGCUCAGGACAUGCUGGAUAGCAAUUAACUGCCAUGACCUGGGAGCCUUCCACAACGUCUUCAUUGCGUGAUUGCAGGUGACAUGGACAGGACACGACAAGUAGUACCUGGAAGAAACCAAAUUCCUUGCAAGCCAGGUGUACUUGCUGGAUUAUCUGAGGCCGGUGAAGAGGGUGUUGCAGAUAAGCUAGAUCCACAAUUGGCAAGCAUGUGUUACACGAGGUUCCGUUUGGCCGUAGGGUUGGUGGAAGGAUGUAACGCUUGGGAACAUAGGUUAGUCCCUCUUCAUUAAGUGUCAUGGCACUAGUAAAUGAACCAUUUGGUGAAGCUAAGCUCUCUCUCAUUUUUCCCAACUAUAUCGUGCUCUUUUUCCUUUAAGAUUAUGGCUUUAACUCCCUAUUUAUAAGCAGGAAAUAUGAAGA